AAUGAUGUGAUGAUAUGUGUAUUUAUACAAAAUGAUGACAAACUUCUCCGUCCUACAGCUGGAGGAGAUUCUGUCAAUGGGCUUCCAGAACAAGUUCUACGCUGUGAUGAAACGGCCGAUGCAGGGCUCAGGUCUGGAUGAGUACAGGAUCAACGUGUCCAGUGACACACCCCACUGGUACAUCAGAGACUACCUGACCCGCGUCAGUGCUUACUACGGCAUCAAAACCGCUGAAGUCGGAGACUUGGAUGAGUGUAAAUCAAAUGAGGCUGUGUGUAGGCAACCUGCCCUUUGUGCCAACACUUACGGAGGGUACAGGUGUGUGUGCAACGGGACCACCGACGUCGACUACACCCAAUCCUGCAUUUUAGACAUGGGGGGUUUGAACAGGACGGGGAUAGCCGUGGCCCAGACGGCGGAGGAUAAGAAGCCCCUGAUCCUGGGCCUGGUUUUAGGCAUCGGGAUCCCUGUCCUCCUCCUACUGUCUGCCCUCGCCUGCUUCUGCUGCUCCCGCAAGAAGACCAUCACAGGAGAAAUUCCUCAAUUGUUACCAGAAUAUGUUCGGGAGCAGUACAACCCUCCGCCCUUCAACUACUCGGACCCGGCUCUACACUACAACGUCCACGUCAGCCCUCGCGUCAUCGACGACCUUACACCCGGGAAGCGUCGCAGUACAAACUUCACACACGCUUAACAGCGCUAUUAUGAUUGCGCAUGUAAAAAACAAAAAAACAAAGUCAAUAUAUUAUUUAUACUGUAAUAUCCAAUUGCUUAAAGCUGAGGGACUUUCAAAGUCCAAUGUAUUUCAGAAAAGAAGAACACGGAAAUUGAUACGGAGAGAAACAAAGCAUAUCUCGUGGUGUGAUUCUGACGAGCACUCCUAGCAAGGACGUCGAAGUAAAGGCUGGACGGCUCUGGGCGAGGGAACUUAAUAAACCAGUAAACAAACAAACAUAGAGCCAUUCAUGUGCCUUAAGUAUUUCCCAUGUGAAACCUAAUGCUUUCUGUUCAUUCUUUUUUUUUUAAUCGUAGUUAUUAUAUUCAUGUGUAAAGCACAUUUGUAUUAAUAUCACAGAGUGAGCGUCGCCACAUAUUUGUACAUGCAACGGAUUAACGCAGAGAAGAUUGUAGUAAUUUGAUUUAUCAGACAGCAUGUUGUGGGGUCCUCUUCUUAACCUUCAGUCCAUCAGCGGUUGUACUUUAGAGCAUAAUGUCUACAGCACUGUGGUGGAGGGUAUUGUAGGGUUCUGAGUCUUGAUGGUUAUGAAGAUACAGAGAACAAACGAGAAGCACUUGAAUCCAAUUCAAGGUUUUCGUAAUGACCGGUCGGUAAGAGUAGUAUACACCUAGCAUACAAACUUUGUCAUACAUGGGUCUCAAACACCCGUAUAUAAGUUAUGAACGGGCUGUCACCGUUAUCCUGAGUGGAGAGCUCAAAAACAAAUGUUUGAUCUACAAGACGAGAGAGUCAGCGGCUACAGAGAAGUCGCAGUCGAUGGCUGGGAUGUCGAGACAUCGGUGAGACGCAUUAAAUGGAGAGUGAACCGUGCUGUCGGCCUCUGGGGGACCUGCUCAUCUCCCCAUGUUGACCACAUCCUUCCUCUGCUCAAGCCAUGUGUUCCCUCUUGACUGUCGCUCCAUCUUUUGGUAGCUUGAAAUCUUCAAAAAAACGUUCAACUCUGGCUGAAAAUAGUAAUCUAGACCGAAUCUAUAUAGCGGUUUUAUUUGAUUCUUGUUUGUUUAGAUUUUUCAAGCGCUUUGAGACUCUUUCUGUAAUGAAAAGCGCUGUAGAAGUUAAAUGAAUUAUUAUUAUUAUUGUCAUGUACAUUGAAGAGAGAGGAGUCUCCUUUGCCUUAAACCUAUGGAAAACAUGCAAUAUUAAUAAUGAUACGACUCAAUGUUCUAAAAGAAACUAAAUGGAUGAUGUAAACCAGAUCUCCCUUGGAGAAUAUGUUUUAAUCGAUGAAGUCAUGAACCAGACAAUGGCAUGCCCUUGAUUCAAUUAGAAAAUAAAGGGGGUUGCAUGUUUAAAAGGGGAUACAUGUUUCACGAUUGG
rnacentral:lncRNA from 1 species